rnacentral:rRNA from 1 species
UAAUACGUAGGGUGCAAGCGUUGCUCGGAAUCAUUGGGCGUAAAGCGCGUGUAGGCGGCCACUUAAGUCUGGUGUGAAAGCCCGGGGCUUAACCUCGGAAGUGCACUGGAUACUGGGUGGCUAGAGGAUGGGAGAGGGAAGCGGAAUUCCUGGUGUAGGGGUGAAAUCCGUAGAUAUCAGGAGGAACAUCGGUGGCGAAGGCGGCUUCCUGGCCCAUUACUGACGCUCAGACGCGAAAGCGUGGGGAGCAAACAGGAUUAGAUACCCUGGUAGUCCACGCCCUAAACGAUGGAUACUAGUCGUCGGAAUUCCCAAUAGUUUCGGUGACGUAGCUAACGCGUUAAGUAUCCCGCCUGGGGAUUACGGUCGCAAGAUUA